UACGUAGGGCGCAAGCGUUAUCCGGAAUUAUUGGGCGUAAAGAGCUCGUAGGCGGUUUGUCGCGUCUGCCGUGGAAAGUCCGGGGCUCAACUCCGGAUCUGCGGUGGGUACGGGCAGACUAGAGUGAUGUAGGGGAGACUGGAAUUCCUGGUGUAGCGGUGAAAUGCGCAGAUAUCAGGAGGAACACCGAUGGCGAAGGCGGACUCUGGGCCG
rnacentral:rRNA from 1 species